UCUCCGUUGGUGAACCAGCGGAGGGAUCAUUACUGAGUGAGGGUUUAACCGCCCGACCUCCAACCCUUUGUGAAUCGUACUCGUUGCUUCGGGGGCGACCCUGCCGUUUCGACGGCGAGCGCCCCCGGGGUCAAUCAAACACUGCAUUCUCUGCGUCGGAGUAUUAGUAAAUCUAAUCAAAACUUUCAACAACGGAUCUCUUGGUUCUGGCAUCGAUGAAGAACGCAGC
rnacentral:misc_RNA from 1 species